rnacentral:lncRNA from 1 species
CUUGGUCUGCAGCUCCUGUCUCUGACACUGAGCUUCUGCUAUUUCAGCUACAGUAUGCGUAGACUGCCAAAGCCAGGAUAUUACAAAUCAGAGGGGUUUAAAACAAGCGACUGGGGGGCUAAAUCCCUCUUUCAGACACACAGUCGACACUCCCUUCACGGGAGGGCGGUGGUUUUUAAUCAUGCCUUUAAAAUUCCUUAAAAGCAGGGGGUCUCCCCUCCGCGAGGGGCGGUCGGCAGAGUGCGUGCCUUAUGAAUAAACCGGCUAUUAGGCUGAUGCUUCAAGUAACAUUAUCCAGCACCAAGAAGAGCCUCAGCAUCCUAAUGUCACUGAUUUUGAUGGGGAAAAAACAUCUGGCCUACUGCAGUGAUUCUGAAAUCCCACAAGGUAUAAAGUUGAUGGAGAGUCUUGUGAUUCGUGGCAGUAGGGAUACAUUGGAGAAGAUAACAACCAGAAGUUGCAAGGCUCCUUCAUGUCCUGGAUCCUUUUCAGCAAGGGACUGUGUAAUAACUUACAGAAUGAGUUAAAUGAAGAAACUAUGGAAGUACAGUGAUCAGAAAAUGUGCAAUGGUCUCUGAUGUACAGAGGUGCUGUCUGCAAGCACUAAUGCCUCAGCUGGUUUUCCUCCAUUAUCUUGUCUGCUAUUUAUUUUUAACUCUGAUGGUUUAAUCAGUGCCACAUGGAUUGAAUGCUUCAGGUAUCUGGAGCUCAUGGAGGGCUACAACAGCAGGUGCAAGAGGCUCACAGUAAUGAUUGCCAUUCAGCCCUGUGCAAUCUGGUUUCAUUGGAAAUUACUUGUUACAGAUAGAUAUUUUGAGUCAUCAAUCAUUUUAAAUCCCUUUUGUCUGAGGUAUCUUGCAUCCAUAGUCGUGACUCCAAAAGUUAAAGAAUGAAACCUGUGCCAAAAAAAUAAUUCCCUUUUUUUCUGCACGUCUCAUUGUUUAGUGAGCGUUUCUUGAAAAAAUAAAAGUAAACUUAG